AAGACUAUAGACCUGCGGAGUACCUGCGGAAGGAUCAUUACAGGACUCGCAAGACUCCUACAACCCUGUGAACCUACUAUACGAACGUUGCUUCGGCGGGUGCGCCCCGGGGAUUCGUUCCCGCGGCGCGUCAGCCCGCCGGCAGCCUACAAAUUCUGUUUCUUUGCGUUGGCAUCUCGAGAAAAACAAAUAAGUUAAAACUUUCAACAAUGGAUCUCU
rnacentral:misc_RNA from 1 species